AUGAAAAGAAGCCUCUGCAAGAUGUAAGGCAGAGGUGGGGCACUGGAGUGAAGAGCCUACUACCCAGACCCUGGAGGUCUUGGCCAGCAACCAAGAAGAAAGCCUCCGCAAUUUAAAAAAGAAACUCAAGCCUCAACUUCCUUAGUGGAAGGCCCCACCUGCACCCUAAGCCCUCCGCCACUGCC